AAUACGAAUGCCCCCAACCGUCCCUAUUAAUCAUUACUUCAGUCCUAGAAACCAACAAAAUAGGGCCGAAAUCCUAUCUUAUUAUUCCAUGCUGCAGUAUUCAAGGCGACAAGCCUGCUUGAAACACUCUAAUUUUCUCAAAGUAAAAGUCCUGGAAAAAACUCCACACAAUGAAGUGUGGAGAAAUCCAGAAGGAUGCUAGAAUUCACCAAGUGCACACCCCUGAGGGCGGACUGGCUGCUUCCAGCAGAAAUCCAACUACGAGCUUUUUAACUGCAACAACUUUAAUAUACGCUAUUGGAGCUGGAAUUACCGCGGCUGCUGGCACCAGACUUGCCCUCCAAUUGUUACUCUGAAAGGGGCUUGGAUUCCUAUCAUUCCAAUCACUAGAAAUGAAAUUUCCAGUGUUGUUAUUUCUUGUCACUACCUCCCUGAAUCAGGAUUGGGUAAUUUGCGCGCCUGCUGCCUUCCUUAGAUGUGGUAGCCGUUUCUCAGGCUCCCUCUCCGGAAUCGAACCCUAAUUCCCCGUUACCCGUCACUGCCACGGUAGUCCAAUACAGUACCGUCGAAAGCUGAUAGGUCAGAAACUUGAAUGAUCCGUCGCAGACCGAAGUCAACGCGAUCCGUUCGGUUACUAUGAAUCACCUGAGGACCACCGGAAGGUGGGUUGGUUCUGUAUCUAAUAAACACUGCCCUUCCAGGGGAAGAGGCAUGUGCGCAUGUAUUAGCCAUAGAAUUACCACGGUUAUCCAUGUAGUAAAGACCAUCAAAUAAACUAUAACUGUUUUAAUGAGCCAUUCGCAGUUUAGCCGUAUAAAAGCUUAUACUUAGACAUGCAUGGCUUAAUCUUUAAGACAAGCAUAUGA